rnacentral:tRNA from 1 species
GUCCCCAUAGCUCAACGGAUAGAGCGCGGGCCUCCGAAGCCUGAGAUCGUGGUUCAAUUCCACGUGGGGAUA